rnacentral:rRNA from 1 species
CUACGGGCCGCAGCAGUGGGGAAUAUUGGACAAUGGGGGAAACCCUGAUCCAGCAAUGCCGCGUGUGUGAAGAAGGCCUGCGGGUUGUAAAGCACUUUCGGUUGGGAGGACUGCUUCUAGCACUAAUAUUGUUGGAAGUUGACGUUACCUUCAGAAGAAGCACCGGCUAACUCCGUGCCAGCAGCCGCGGUAAUACGGAGGGUGCAAGCAUUAAUCGGAAUUACUGGGCGUAAAGCGCGCGUAGGCGGCUAGAUCAGUCGGGUGUGAAAGCCCCGGGCUUAACCUGGGAACUGCAUCCGAUACUGUCUAGCUUGAGUACAGGAGAGGAGAGUGGAAUUCCACAUGUAGCGGUGACAUGCGUAGAUAUGUGGAGGAACACCAAUGGCGAGGGCAGCUCUCUGGCCUGAUACUGACGCUGAGGUGCGAAAGCGUGGGGAGCAAACAGGAUUAGAUACCCCUGUAGUC